rnacentral:rRNA from 1 species
GAUGAACGCUAGCUACAGGCUUAACACAUGCAAGUCGGGGGGUAACGAGAGGAAAGCUUGCUUUCCUUGUCGACGACCGGCGCACGGGUGAGUAACGCGUAUCCAACCUGCCCCCAACUAGGGAAUAACCUUGCGAAAGCAAGACUAAUACCCUAUAAUUUCCUCAGAUGUCAUCUGACGAGGAAUAAAGAUUUAUCGGUUGUGGAUGGGGAUGCGUCUGAUUAGCUUGUUGGCGGGGUAACGGCCCACCAAGGCAACGAUCAGUAGGGGUUCUGCGAGGAAGGUCCCCCACAUUGGAACUGAGACACGGUCCAAACUCCUACGGGAGGCAGCAGUGAGGAAUAUUGGUCAAUGGGCGGAAGCUUGAACCAGCCAAGUAGCGUGCAGGAUGACGGCCCUAUGGGUUGUAAACUGCUUUUAUACAGGAAUAAAGUUAGCCACGUGUGGUUAUUUGUAGGUACUGUAUGAAUAAGGACCGGCUAAUUCCGUGCCAGCCGCCGCAGUAA